rnacentral:lncRNA from 1 species
UCGACAACUUCGAUAAUAGAACAAGAAACACGACUAACACCACUUUUUAUGGAAGGAAACUUGGGGGAAAAACUUCAUUAGCACUACUCUGUGAAAAAGCAAUUGACGUACCAAGAGAAACUGAACAACCCAUCACCAAAACUUGCUCAUGAAACAUCAAUGAUUACAUAUGGAAACAACCCGAACAGCUGAAGAACAACCAAUACCUUGGUCAUCAUUGCCUUAGCUUGCUAUGGAAAAUGUCUUGUCAAAAUCUUUAUCCCGAACCUGAGCCAAUCAAUAGCGGGUUGGAUCAAGUGAUCAAGCUAUUUCUUAGAUAAUUUUUUUUAGAAUUCUCCUACUUUAGGUUAGGAUUGAAAAUCAUAGGCCUUGUUUAGUUUCAAAAAUUUUUGCAAAAUCGACAGUGUAGCACUUUCGUUUGUAUUUGACAAAUAUUGUCCAAUCAUGGACUAACUAGGCUCAAAAGAUUCGUCUCGUCAAUUCCGACCAAACUGUGCAAUUAGUUUUUAUUUUCGUCUACAGUUAAUACUCCAUGCAUGCGUCUAAAGAUUCGAUGUGAUGGGGAAUCUGAAAAAUUUUGCAAAAAAUUUUGGGAACUAAACAAGGCCAUAACCUGAAUCUAACACAAUAUACUUUUGGGUCAGGUCAGGUGGUCCAUAUAGAUAUAUUUUUAGGCCUUAUUUAGAUGUAAUUGGAUUAUUAUCAAUACAUGUGUUGGGAUGAAUUAGGGGUAGAACUUAAACUAAAUUCCACUCUGACCCGUAUAGAUUUAAGUCCACUCUAAUUCACCCAAACCCAUAUAGAUUGAGUUGAAUUCAAUAACAUUCAAACCUAGUAGGGGUGGUACUGAAGGUGGAGCUGUGUUUCUUGAUUGAGCAGGGCACUUGUCAAGUUGCUCUAAUAACACGAUUAUAGGAAGGUUUUGUGCCAGCCAAUAGCCGAGGCGCGUGAUUGGAAGUGACAAGUCACAAGUGGAGCUUGAUCGGAGGGAUGGACACGCAGCUACGCGUUCAAGAGGUCGCCGUCAGAUGCGGUGGAGGCGUGUAUGGUGCCGCGCCACGCCACGCUUCCCCUGCCCCGGCCGUAGGAUGGUGGGUGCCGUGCACGGCGGGGAUGGCGUCUCAUCCAAAACCUCCCAACCCCACCGACCUCCAUUUCCUCUCCCCGCCCACCUCUUCCGUUCCCGUCCCGCACACAGACUCUUUUCUCUCUCCUCCCCCUCCCUCUCGUCCUCUCUCUCUCGUCCGAUCUGCAUCUGCUUUUCUUCCUUCCCCCCUUGUCUCCUGUCCCUUCUGGCGUGCGCAAAGAUUUGAUUUUUCUUUUUCUUUUUUUUUUCCUCUCGGGGAGGAGGCGGAGUCGAAGCAGGAGUCGGGGAAGGAGUGGUGGGAGGCGGGAGGAAGGAGGAGAUCCUGAUCUGUUCUUGGAGUGGUGGGAGGAGAGGUCGAGAGGAGGAAGAUGGCGGCGCAGGAGCAGGAGCACGAGAAGCAGCAGGCGAAGACAAGCACCACGAGCUCGCUCCCCUCCAGCAGCGAGCGCUCCUCCAGCUCCGCCCCCAACAACCUCAGGGAAGGAGGUAGGUGCCGCGCCCAACCCAACCCAACCCAACCCAUGCACCACCCUCUCAGAUUUCCUGCAUCAUCUUUUUUUCCCCCGGUUUCGUCAGCUAAACUCCGCAGCUGAAGUUGCCGCUGCGCGCAUGCCACUGCAGGUGCGGAGAGCGACGAGGAGAUACGGCGGGUGCCGGAGAUGGGCGGCGCGUCGGCGUCGGCCUCGUCGGGCGCGGGCGCAGACGAGCGCCCCAAGGAGGACGGCGGCAAGCAGGGCGGGCAGCUGGCGGCUGCCGCGGGGGCGCAGCCUCCGGCGGCGGCCGGGAAGAAGCGCGGCCGCACCGCGGGGGACAAGGAGCAGAACCGGCUGAAGCGCCUGCUGCGGAACCGCGUGUCCGCGCAGCAGGCGCGGGAGCGGAAGAAGGCGUACCUGACGGAGCUGGAGGCCAAGGCCA